GGUUUAGGGUUUAUGUUUAGGGUUUAGAGUUGAUGUUUUAGGGUUUAGAUUUGAAGGUUUACGGUUUAGGGUUUAGAGUUAAUGUUUCGGGGUUUAGGAUUUAGAGUAGAUGCUUCAUGGUUUAGGGUUUAGAGUUGAUGAUUUAGGUUUUAGAGUUGAUGUUUUAAGUUUAGAUUUAGGGUUUAGGGUUUUAGGUGUAGGGUUUACGUUUAGGGUUUAUAGUUGAUGUUUUAGUGUUUUCAUUUGAAGGUUUAGGGUUUGGAGUUGAUGUUUCGGGGGUUUAUGGUUUAGAGUUGAUGUUUUAUGGUUUACGGUUUAGAGUUGAUGAUUUAGGGUUUAGAGUUGAUGUUUUAAGUUUAGAUUAGUUAAUCAUUUGUUUUUUUGUGAAAGUUAAUCAAAUGGUUAUAAAUGUCUUUUACUUUUUAUUAAAGAAAAUGGUAAAAAUGAUUAGUGUAAACAUGAAAAGUA
rnacentral:lncRNA from 1 species